rnacentral:rRNA from 1 species
UCGAGAAUCUUCGGCAAUGGACGCAAGUCUGACCGAGCGACGUCGCGUGCGGGAUGAAGGCCCUCGGGUUGUAAACCGCUGUCAGAGGGGAGGAAAUUACCGGGAGCUAUCUCCCAGUAUUGACCGAGCCUCAGAGGAAGCACGGGCUAAGUUCGUGCCAGCAGCCGCGGUAAUACGAACUGUGCGAACGUUGUUCGGAAUCACUGGGCUUAAAGGGUGCGUAGGCGGCGACUUAAGUAGGAUGUGAAAUCUCCCGGCUCAACCGGGGAACUGCGUUCUAAACUGGGUUGCUUGAGUGAGAUAGAGGUGUGCGGAACUUCCGGUGGAGCGGUGAAAUGUGUUGAUAUCGGAGGGAACACCGUUGGCGAAAGCGGCACACUGGGUCUUAACUGACGCUGAGGCACGAAAGCCAGGGGAGCGAAACGGGAUUAGAUACCCCGGUAGUCCUGGCUGUAAACGUUGAAUACUGGUUGGAAGGGGAUUCGUCCCAUUCCGACGUAGCGAAAGCGUUAAGUAUU